rnacentral:rRNA from 1 species
AGAACGAACGCUGGCGGCAGGCCUCAAACAUGCAAGUCUAGGGGGUGUAGCAAUACAUCACCGGCGGACGGGUGCGUAACACGUGGGAAUAUACCUUUUGGUUCGGAACAACGCAGGGAAACUUGCGCUAAUACCGAAUGUGCCCUUACGGGGAAAGAUUUAUCGCCAAAGGAUUAGCCCGCGUAGGAUUAGCUAGUUGGUGAGGUAAUGGCUCACCAAGGCUCCGAUCCUUAGCUGUUCUGAGAGGAAGAUCAGCCACACUGGGACUGAGACACGGCCCAGACUCCUACGGGAGGCAGCAGUUGGGAAUCUUGGACAAUGGGGAAACCCUGAUCCAGCCAUGCCGCGUGAGUGAUGAAGGCCUUCGGGUUGUAAAACUCUUUCGACGGGGACAGUAAUGACGGUACCCGUAGAAGAAGCUCCGGCUAACUUCGUGCCAGCAGCCGC